rnacentral:rRNA from 1 species
CGCAUGUUCACAUGAUUAAGGUAUUCCGGUAGACGAUGGGGAUGCGUUCCAUUAGAUAGUAGGCGGGGUAACGGCCCACCUAGUCUUCGAUGGAUAGGGGUUCUGAGAGGAAGGUCCCCCACAUUGGAACUGAGACACGGUCCAAACUCCUACGGGAGGCAGCAGUGAGGAAUAUUGGUCAAUGGGCGAGAGCCUGAACCAGCCAAGUAGCGUGAAGGAUGACUGCCCUAUGGGUUGUAAACUUCUUUUAUAAAGGAAUAAAGUCGGGUAUGCAUACCCGUUUGCAUGUACUUUAUGAAUAAGGAUCGGCUAACUCCGUGCCAGCAGCCGCGGUAAUACGGAGGAUCCGAGCGUUAUCCGGAUCUAUUGGGUUUAAAGGGAGCGUAGAUGGAUGUUUAAGUCAGUUGUGAAAGUUUGCGGCUCAACCGUAAAAUUGCAGUUGAUACUGGAUAUCUUGAGUGCAGUUGAGGCAGGCGGAAUUCGUGGUGUAGCGGUGAAAUGCUUAGAUAUCACGAAGAACUCCGAUUGCGAA